UUUGAAUUAUGAAAGUCGAGCUUGUUUCAGAGCGCACAGGACAGUUCAAUUCAGUCGGGACAAUUUAACUGACGACCGGGGAUGAAAACGUUGCAGAAUCUUAAAUGAGGAGAAUAGAGAAGACGUCGAGAUACGAUACAUAUGAGAUGCUGUGUUAUUCUACGUUUCCCUCAUGUUUCGUCUGCUACGCUGCCGCUCGUUACCACUUCUCGCACAAUUAAAUCGCGACAUACAAUACAUGCAAAAGGCGACGUCAUCCACACACAUACACACACGAGCGAACACAGUUGGGUAUGAAUAUCGGAGAAGCGGACGAUUUUGCGCAUCCAACACGGACGAGCAUUAGGACCAACCGCUGCUUCUUGCACGCACCAUGUGAUGCUUAAACGACGGGAUAUCGUUUGCCCCGAGUGGUACCACCAUCCCUAUCGCAAAAUCCUUCGUGAACGAUGGCACGGCUGCGCUUGGCAACUUAUCACUCUGUUUUCGCGGUUAUAUGUGUGCGCUGCUGCGAUUCCGUAACACCUGCCUACAAGCCACAUAUACGACGAUCCACGUACGUCGCGGAAUAUUCAAAAAGCGAUCUACCGAGCCGAAUAAAAAGCAAGUCGCGUCUGCAGCAUGGACGACUUUUUACGACGGAACGCCGGCACACAUACGUAAUCGAGCAGAUACGGUCACAACUCACAACAAAUUAUGGUAUUGUCAUACGAAGCUGCCUUCAUCCCGUACUGUUGACAUAUUCAGUCAGUUGGUAUUCAAAACUCGAAGAUAAAGGUUACUGCUCGGCAGAUUAUUUUUCGAAAAACGCGAUUAUUUUCUACAAUUAUUAUAAUUAGAGACACGUAAGAGAUAUUAUAUUUCAAAACUAUACAAUUUGUCGGUAUGUUUAAAGUGUGAUUUCCGUACAAAUGGGCUUAUUUUUUAUCGUGAUUUUCGGGAGUUUUUGUCCAAAGCAUCGCGCGUUUAAAAAUGCGGAAGUGCCGUUUAAAGCAUCGCACAUUCAAGUGCGGGAGUACUAUUUAAAGUAUCGCGCGUAAAAGUGCGGGAGUGCAUUAAAAAUUAAAAAUGUCGCGCGUGUGAAACAACGUACUGAAGUUGUCUUGAGCGGAAAAGGAGGCCUAGGAAAGGCAUCGGGCAUCGACAGAACAACCUUAGGAUUUCUACAUGUAGCGUGUCAACUCCACUGCUGCUCAUCGAUCGGUGAGUGAGAUAUU